rnacentral:lncRNA from 1 species
GCCAGCAUACACUAGUAUGGGGCUGUAUGGACCAGUAUAGACCAGUAUAAACCAGUAUAGACCAGUAUAGACCAGUAUGGGGCUGUAUAGACCUGUAUGGACAAGUAUGGACCAAAAUAAACCAGUAUAAACCAGUAUGGACCAGUAUAGACCAGUAUAAACCAGUAUAGACCAGUAUAGACCAGUAUGGACCAGUAUAAAUUAGUAUAGACCAGUAUGGACCAGUAUAAACCAGUAUAAACCGGUAUAAACCAGUAUGGACCAGUAUAGCCCAGUACCCCCCCCAUUAAAGUCUCUCUAUCUCCCCCCACAGCCCCACGGCCGCCCCUCCCCCACCUCAACCCCCCAGCCCCCCCCCCUUUGUGGUGGUGGCGGAGCCGUCAGUCGAGAGGCCCAGGGUCCUACAGGCCAGAAUCCUAUUGACCUAUAGGGUGAGUUAUGGGGUCUAUGGGGUCCUAUGGGGUCUAUGGGGUCCUAUGGGGUCCUACAGGCCAGAAUCCUAUUGACCUAUAGGGUGAGUUAUGGGGUCUGUGGGGUUUUAUGGGGUUCUAUGGGGUCUAUGGGGUUCUAUGGGGUCCUAUGGGGUCCUAUGGGGUCUAUGGGGUCCUAUGGGGUCUAUGGGGUCCUAUGGGGUUCCUACUGCCAUAUAGGGUGAGUUAUGGGGUCCUAUGGGGCUCUAUGGGGUCUGUGGGGUCCUAUGGGGUCCUAUUGAUUCCUAUGGGGUCUAUGGGGUCCUAUGGGGUCCUAUGGGGUUCUAUGGGGUCCUAUUGAUUCCUAUGGGGUCCUAUGGGGUUCUAUCGGGUCCUAUGGGGUCCUAUGGGGUCUAUGGGGUUCUAUGGGGUCCUAUGGGGUUCUAUGGGGUCCUAUGGGGUCUAUGGGGUCCUAUGGGGUUCCUACUGCCCUAUAGGGUGAGUUAUGGGGUCCUAUGGGGUCUAUGGGGUUCUAUGGGGUUCUAUGGGGUCCUAUGGGGUCUAUGGGGUCCUAUGGGGUUCUAUGGGGUCCUAUGGGGUCCUAUGGGGUUCUAUGGGGUUCUAUGGGGUCCUAUGGGGUUCCUACUGCCCUAUAGGGUGAGUUAUGGGGUCCUAUGGGGUCUAUGGGGUCCUAUAGGAUU